rfam:Schistosoma rodhaini strain Burundi genome assembly, scaffold: SROB_scaffold0003133
AUCCAGUUGACGAGUCCCAAAUAGGACGAAACGCGCGUCCUAGAC